GCGACCCAUUCUUGGUUUCAA
rnacentral:miRNA from 3 species